UACGUAGGGACCAAGCGUUGUUCGGAUUUACUGGGCGUAAAGGGCGCGUAGGCGGCAAAUUAAGUCAGCUGUGAAAUCUCCGAGCUUAACUCGGAACUGUCAGCUGAUACUGAUGUGCUAGAGUGCGGAAGGGGCAAUCGGAAUUCUUGGUGUAGCGGUGAAAUGCGUAGAUAUCAAGAGGAACACCUGAGGUGAAGACGGGUUGCUGGGCCGACACUGACGCUGAGUGCGCGAAAGCGUGGGGAGCGAACAGG
rnacentral:rRNA from 1 species